AUUGAACGCUGGCGGCAGGCCUAACACAUGCAAGUCGAACGGUAACAGGAAACAGCUUGCUGUUUCGCUGACGAGUGGCGGACGGGUGAGUAAUGUCUGGGAAACUGCCUGAUGGAGGGGGAUAACUACUGGAAACGGUAGCUAAUACCGCAUAACGUCGCAAGACCAAAGAGGGGGACCCUCGGGCCUCUUGCCAUCGGAUGUGCCCAGAUGGGAUUAGCUUGUUGGUGGGGUAACGGCUCACCAAGGCGACGAUCCCUAGCUGGUCUGAGAGGAUGACCAGCCACACUGGAACUGAGACACGGUCCAGACUCCUACGGGAGGCAGCAGUGGGGAAUACUGCACAAUGGGCGCAAGCCUGAUGCAGCCAUGCCGCGUGUAUGAAGAAGGCCUUCGGGUUGUAAAGUACUUUCAGCGGGGAGGAAGGGAGUAAAGUUAAUACCUUUGCUCAUUGACGUUACCCGCAGAAGAAGCACCGGCUAACUCCGUG
rnacentral:rRNA from 1 species